UUUAUCUAGCCAUCUCUUUUUCUUGUUUAUUUGUAGGCUAUGUGAAUGAAAGUCUGCGUCGAUGCCUCUGUGUCGCGAGCAGACGUUGCCAUGAAAUUUGUGCUUUUUUGGCAUGAAAAAAAUUAAAAUGACGUGUCCCAGAUCACAAAUGAAUAGAUUAAAUGACGUGACAGUGUCACGUAUUUCCAUGAGACUGGGUUGGAAGGACCUGCUGCUGAAGUCCGCCAUCAGGGAGAAAACAUGAACAUCCACUUUAGAAUACCAAAACUUUGAAUGUCCCUCUAAGAUUGUGUGAAGGCCAAAUGUAACAAAUUGAGAGUUACUUUUCUUUACUAAGAAAACCAUGAAAACUUAUCUCAGAAUUCUGAGAUAAUUAACUCGUCAAUUCAGAAAAAGAGCUGAAUUAAAUUUCUCAAGUGGAUGAUUACGCUUCCGUACAUGGCGCUGUCUGGUAAAUGGAAUAAUGUAGGGCAGGGAGCGUGUUAAGCCCACACGCACUUUAGUAAAGCUUGCGUGCGAUUUCCUUAAAGUGCGCGUACAACUUACUAAAGAAAGUGCGAGUGUGAUUUGCUUAAAGAGUGUGCGAUUUACUAAUACACACACGCUCUUUAUAAAAAGAUAACUGUGUCACGAUUCGAUUCAAAAUCAAUUUUCGAUUCAUUACAUUGGGAUGUCAAUAUCCGUAUCUAGUCCACUGUGUGCUAAGAAAGGUACCGUGGCAAAUAACUAGGCGUAGCAAAGGCAUUUUUGUUUGCAUCCGCAAGCAAUUGUUUUUAUAUUGGAAUUUUAUUUAUAUUAUUGGUAGUCAUGAAUCAACUCAGGAUCAUAGAUAAUGAUGAUCUCUGGACAAAAAAAUCUAAGUUAAUUAAUACAACAAAGCAAAGAACGUAUAGAUACAGUGGAUAUGAUGUUUUUCUCUGAAAUAUCUGUUGACAGGACUAUAUAUAAUAAAAUGCUGGAUAUGGAUACAUUAGAUGUGAUGUUUUGGUCUGUGGGAAACACUGGGAUAUGACGUUUUUCUCUGAAAUAUCUGUUGACAGGACUAUAUGUAAUAAAAUGCUGGAUAUGGAUACAUUAGAUGUGAUGUUUUGGUCUGUGGGAAACACUGGGAUAUGACGUUUUUCUCUGAAAUAUCUGUUGACAGGACUAUAUAUAAUAAAAUGCUGGAUAUGGAUACAUUAGAUGUGAUGUUUUCUCUGCAGUUGUCCGUAAGGCCCGGGUUGAGUUGGAGGCUAUGAGGAGGCAGGCUAAGGGCCUCACACAGGAGUACGACAGACUGCUUACGGAACACACUCAACUACAGAAUCUUCAAAACACUGCGGACAAAAAGGACCAGUAACAUUUGACUCAUGCUGGUUUGAUAUUAUUCCCUGUGAAUCCUCUGCUUUUGAAGUUUUAAUUUCUGUAUGAAUCAUUUUGCCACUCAAGGCAUUCACCUGCACUGCCAAUGUCCUCCUCUUCCUCUUACCUGUAGGGUAAACAUAGCUGUAGCACUUAUCACUAAUUAGGGGUCUGUUGCUUUAAGUAUGACAGUAAACCUGUACAGGCACAACUACUGAAGAUACCACACAUAUAUGAAUGUUGUUACUGUUAGGUGUGUGUUCCAUUUGAUGUAUCUGUAUAGGCUUGGAUGGCAGAACUUUUGAACAUUACAACGUGCAAUCGAUGUCACUUUACUGUAUUUAGUAUUUGAUAAAAAUAUUGAAAAACAAAAUAAAUACAUUAUGACUGCUGGUCUAA